UGUUUGCAACUGUAAAAGAGGGUUCGCAUGUGCCAUUGCUAAGUUUCUAAAGAUCCGAUUUCUCCUCUUUAAAUCAGCUUUUCCUUUCUAUAUUUAUUUUCUUUCUUCUUCCAUUUUUGAAUAGCUUUGUUUCUGAAACGAAAUUGGUUUGGGAAGCUAAUGGGAAGGAACGUAAGCCAGAAGACAGAGGAAUUUCAGAUGUGCCAAACGGAGAAGCACCAUUCCAUCAUCCAACUCCUGCAAAACUACCUAAGUUAGAGAGAAAGAAUGACAGAGUAGAGUCAAGUGUGCUCUAGCAAGUAGUUCUGUCGGCGUAAGUGUACCUCAAGAGUUAUAAGAGCUACAUUGGGAGGUAAGCUGUAAUUAGGGUCAAUGAGAGUUCCUUUGGUCUCAUGGAAGGCCUUCCAAUUUCCCAUGUUCUGAUCAAUAAAUAUCUUAAGAAUAUGUAAUAUGGCGAUGAUUAAUCCAUGAAAUAGUUACCAUUAAGUCAUACCUCAUGUGAAAACGCCAAUAACAGUGGUGAAUAAAUUUCCUGACCAGUUGUACGGCGCCAUUGUGAACCAGAUCUAAGGUUGUGGAUGGCCACAUGAUAAUUUCCUCUUACCUGAUACAAAGAACAAAAUAUUACAAAAAGGGGAUAGAAUUUCAUAGACACUAUGCGGAGAGCAUUGUAAGUUUGAUUAUGGCUUCCUUAGAACUGGGUAUCAUUUUCCCUACAACUAGGAGACAGUUUUAUAUACAACAACCACUCAAACACAGUAGUUUUU